GCUUGAGUGGUGCCAGAAUGUGUCAGAUUGUUUUCUCAUGGCUCAUGGUGAUUGGGCAUUGAGUUGGUCAGACCCAAGAUGUUUUGGUAACUUGGGAGAUGUAGACUCAAUUAGACAGAUUCCCCACCCCCAAACUCUUUACGGGGCUCCUCACACCUCCUCCUUCUGAAUCCUGCACAGCUGAAAUCUGUUGGGCAGGGAAAUUUCACACACACUUACUUGCC
rnacentral:lncRNA from 1 species